rnacentral:rRNA from 1 species
ACUGAGCGGCGGACGGGUGAGUAACGCGUGGGUAACCUGCCUCAUACAGGGGGAUAACAGUUGGAAACGGCUGCUAAUACCGCAUAAGCGCACAGUACCGCAUGGUACGGUGUGAAAAACUCCGGUGGUAUGAGAUGGACCCGCGUCUGAUUAGGUAGUUGGUGGGGUAACGGCCUACCAAACCGACGAUCAGUAGCCGACCUGAGAGGGUGACCGGCCACAUUGGGACUGAGACACGGCCCAA